rnacentral:rRNA from 1 species
GACGAAGGAUGCAAGCGUUAUCCGGAUUCAUUGGGUUUAAAGGGAGCGUAGGCGGCCUUAUAAGUCAGUGGUGAAAUCUCUCGGCUUAACCGAGAAAUUGCCAUUGAUACUGUAGGGCUUGAGUACAGUUGCCGUUGGCGGAAUAUGACAUGUAGUGGUGAAAUACAUAGAGAUGUCAUAGAACACCGAUUGCGAAGGCAGCUAACGAAACUGUAACUGACGCUGAGGCUCGAAAGUGCGGGGAUCAAACAGG